rnacentral:rRNA from 1 species
UGGGGAAUUUUGGACAAUGGGGGAAACCCUGAUCCAGCCAUCCCGCGUGUGCGAUGAAGGCCUUCGGGUUGUAAAGCACUUUUGUCAGGAAAGAAACGUCAUGGGUUAAUACCCCGUGAAACUGACGGUACCUGCAGAAUAAGCACCGGCUAACUACGUGCCAGCAGCCGCGGUAAUACGUAGGGUGCAAGCGUUAAUCGGAAUUACUGGGCGUAAAGCGUGCGCAGGCGGUUCGGAAAGAAAGAUGUGAAAUCCCAGAGCUCAACUUUGGAACUGCAUUUUUAACUACCGGGCUAGAGGGUGUCAGAGGGAGGUGGAAUUCCGCGUGUAGCAGUGAAAUGCGUAGAUAUGCGGAGGAACACCGAUGGCGAAGGCAGCCUCCUGGGAUAACACUGACGCUCAUGCACGAAAGCGUGGGGAGCAAACAGG